UGCGGAUGCCCUAAUGCUCCCUUACAUAGUCUUUGUUGUUGCAUUUCCUCUCCAAUCUCCAUGAGUUUGGUUUCAGAGUUCAAAUUCAGCAAAACCUAUCAUCGUGCAUACAUUGGUUUAUAAGUUGACUAUCAUGUUUUCUUCGGUUAUAAAUUUUGUUUUCUUGAUGAUUUCGUAGCAAAGCACAGGCACAAAGCUAGCAGUGUUAACAAUAAAGUUAAACCUGUUGCAACAAAGACACCAUGUGCAGGUAGGGAUUUGUUUUUUGUUUUUUUAAACAAGUAAAUUACCUCUUUAUUCAUUGUCAAUAAUGCAUCAUGAGAGGUACAAGUUCCGUACAAUUAAUACUAUCAGGGGGCAGGGGGUUCUCCAACCAAAACAAGCGGAUGAGAAAAUAUUGCUAAUCUAUUACUAUCUAUUAAAUUGGAGUUGGUGGUGAUUACCGUGGGCACCGUAGGUUAAUUUUGUUAAAAUUACAACCAAUAUGCCACUGUCCGUUAUUUUUUUUUCUCCAAUUUUUUCACGAUUUCUCCUACUCCGUCUUACAAUCGACGCCGCCACACCCACAUCCCGACCUCGACGACGCCAUGAGUUGCCUACACAGAAAAUAAAAUAAAAUAAUUUGUGAUUUUGUUGACCCGUAGUUGAGCUAAUUCAUGAGCUGCCAUAUUCGCCUCAUGAGGACAGUGGACAAAGAAGGUAUUAAUAAAAAACACAACCAGCAGCAAGAUAAUAACAAUAAUAAAAAACAGCAGCUUCCAAGCCUUCCGAUCUUCCUCCUUGGUUGAUAACCUCGAUGACCUCCGUGAUUGCAGCUUGCCGUCGGUGCCAAUUGC
rnacentral:lncRNA from 1 species